rnacentral:rRNA from 1 species
AGAGUUUGAUCAUGGCUCAGGAUGAACGCUAGCGGCAGGCUUAACACAUGCAAGUCGAGGGGUAUUGGUUUUCGGACCAAGAGACCGGCGCACGGGUGCGUAACGCGUAUGCAAUCUACCUUUCACAGAGGGAUAGCCCAGAGAAAUUUGGAUUAAUACCUCAUAGUAUAAUGAGUUGGCAUCAACCCAUUAUUAAAGUCACAACGGUGAAAGAUGAGCAUGCGUCCCAUUAGCUAGUUGGUAUGGUAACGGCAUACCAAGGCUACGAUGGGUAGGGGUCCUGAGAGGGAGAUCCCCCACACUGGUACUGAGACACGGACCAGACUCCUACGGGAGGCAGCAGUGAGGAAUAUUGGACAAUGGGCGCAAGCCUGAUCCAGCCAUGCCGCGUGCAGGAUGACGGUCCUAUGGAUUGUAAACUGCUUUUGCACAGGAAGAAACAUCCCGACGUGUCGGGACUUGACGGUACUGUGAGAAUAAGGAUCGGCUAACUCCGUGCCAGCAGCCGCGGUAAUACGGAGGAUCCAAGCGUUAUCCGGAAUCAUUGGGUUUAAAGGGUCCGUAGGCGGUCUUAUAAGUCAGUGGUGAAAUCUCCCCGCUCAACGGGGAAACGGCCAUUGAUACUGUAGGACUUGAAUUAUUAGGAAGUAACUAGAAUAUGUAGUGUAGCGGUGAAAUGCUUAGAGAUUACAUGGAAUACCAAUUGCGAAGGCAGGUUACUACUAAUGGAUUGACGCUGAUGGACGAAAGCGUGGGUAGCGAACAGGAUUAGAUACCCUGGUAGUCCACGCCGUAAACGAUGGAUACUAGCUGUUGGGCGCAAGUUCAGUGGCUAAGCGAAAGUGAUAAGUAUCCCACCUGGGGAGUACGUUCGCAAGAAUGAAACUCAAGGAAUUGACGGGGGCCCGCACAAGCGGUGGAGCAUGUGUUUAAUUCGAUGAUACGCGAGGAACCUUACCAAGGCUAAAUGUAGAU